AGAGUUUGAUCCUGGCUCAGAAUGAACGCUGGCGGCGCGCUUAACACAUGCAAGUCGAACGAGAAAUCUCGAGCUUGCUCGGGAGAGUAAAGUGGCGCACGGGUGAGUAACGCGUGGGUAACCUGUCCUUAAAUUUGGGAUAAUCCACCGAAAGGUGGCCUAAUACCAAAUACAGUCCUGAGAACCAAGGUCCUUGGGAUGAAAGCUGACCUCUUCAUGAAAGUUGGCGUUUAAGGAGGGGCUCGCGUACCAUUAGCUUGUUGGUAGGGUAAUGGCCUACCAAGGCUACGAUGGUUAGCUGGUCUGAGAAGAUGGCCAGCCACACUGGAACUGAAACACGGUCCAGACUCCUACGGGAGGCAGCAGUGAGGAAUCUUGCGCAAUGGGGGAAACCCUGACGCAGCGACGCCGUGUGAGUGAAGAAGGCCUUCGGGUCGUAAAGCUCUGUCAAGUGGGAAUAAAGUCCCUCGGUGAAUACGCGAGGGAUCUGAAGGUACCACUAAAGGAAACACCGGCUAACUCCGUGCCAGCAGCCGCGGUAAUACGGAGGGUGCAAGCGUUAUUCGGAUUUAUUGGGCGUAAAGAGCGUGUAGGCGGGGUGGUAAGUCAGCGGUGAAAUCUCUCGGCUUAACCGAGAAUCUGCCGCCGAUACUGCCAUCCUUGAGUACGGAAGAGGGAAGUGGAAUUCCUGGUGUAGCGGUGAAAUGCGUAGAUAUCAGGAAGAACACCAGUAGCGAAGGCGGCUUCCUGGUCCGUCACUGACGCUGAGACGCGAAAGCGUGGGGAGCAAACAGGAUUAGAUACCCUGGUAGUCCACGCCGUAAACGAUGGGCACUAGGUGUUGGAGGUUUCGACCCCUUCAGUGCCGCAGCUAACGCAUUAAGUGCCCCGCCUGGGGAGUACGGUCGCAAGACUGAAACUCAAAGGAAUUGACGGGGGCCCGCACAAGCGGUGGAGCAUGUGGUUUAAUUCGAUGCAACGCGAAGAACCUUACCUGGGCUUGAACUGCAGUGGACAGCCUGUGAAAGCAGGUUUUCUUUCGGGACUGCUGUAGAGGUGCUGCAUGGCUGUCGUCAGCUCGUGUCGUGAGAUGUUGGGUUAAGUCCCGUAACGAGCGCAACCCCUAUCCUUAGUUACCAACUCAUUUAUGAGGGGACUCUAAGGAGACUGCCAGUGAUAAGCUGGAGGAAGGUGGGGAUGACGUCAAGUCAUCAUGGCCUUUAUGGGUAGGGCAACACACGUGCUACAAUGGGAAGUACAGAUGGAGGCGAACCCGCGAGGGGGAGCGGAUCCCAAAAAGCUUUCCGUAAUUUGGAUUGAAGUCUGCAACUCGACUUCAUGAAACUGGAAUCGCUAGUAAUCGCAAAUCAGCAGGUUGCGGUGAAUACGUUCUCGAGCCUUGUACACACCGCCCGUCAAGUGAUGGGAGUCGGGAGUACCCGAAGUCGGUUUGCUAACCCAGCUUGCUGGGAAGCGGCUGCCGACGGUAAGCCUGAUGACUGGCACUAAGUCGUAACAAGGUAACC
rnacentral:rRNA from 1 species